rnacentral:lncRNA from 1 species
UGACCUCGUGAUCCACCAGCCUCGGCCUCCCAAAGUCCUGGGAUUAUAGGCGUGAGCCACCGCGCCCGGCCUACUAAGCCCUGAAAACUUUGACUGCAAUUUGGAGGAUAUAUUGGAAGAUACAAGGCUGAAGAAACUAUUUAAGAUCCCCUAAGAGUGGAGAAUUUUAGACAAAAUAAAAAAGAAGGAUUAAUACAGCUACUAUUUUUGUCAUCUUGCAAAAUAUAAACUUUGGGUUCAUUGGUAAUUUGCUGAAAGAAUGCCAGUGGGGACAGAACAGAAGCAUUUUCAAGAUUAAAUUGGCAAUGGUUGUGACUGAUUAGAUGAAGAAAGUAAGGGAGAGAGAUUCAUCACAGAAAGAAGGCUUCUUUAAGCAGCAGAAUUGAGGAAUGAGUUAGUAAAUAAAAGAACAAAC